GAAGGGAAAGGAUCGGGUUUGAAAAGCAGCGUGGUAAACCGGCGGAACUAUCCUCUGGCAAAAAGAGGAAAUUUAGUAAAGAGAAUUAAAACCGGUGCAUAUAAAAGGAGGAAGUCAAGUGGGCAUGGAGGAUGCUGAAACAGCAUCGUUACCUUAUGUGCAGAGGAUGCUUCACGUUGCUGACCUGUGUCAUCCUCACCUAGCUGUGGUAAGCUGACCCUGACAAGCAGUAAGAAGUUUUUAUGUAGUAGAAGAGGUGUGGACUUGCAUCACAAACGGAGUGGGAAGAUCCAAAAAAUUUAAAACUGAAGAAGCAGCAGUGCGUCAGAAACCUCAUCUACUCACAACACUUACGGGCAAGAACCAGACCAAUUCAGACAGAGGAGAGAAGGAGGAGAGCUCUUUUUCCAUUACUGCUUCAAGGAAGAGAAUUAGUAUUUGAUAAGAAAAAUCAAUUAGCUGACAAGUAAGAUGGAGAUUCUGAACACAACCUAUGGAAACCACCCUUGAAGAAAACCUGUAAUGUAGGGGAUCCGUGAUGGCUUUGUAAGUUCUGGAGCAUGGUUGUGUGUAGCUGGUUGACUCAAGGUUUGCCUUAGGUUCUACCUUGCAGUGUCUUCUCUCGGGCUCGCUGCGUCCCCAGAGGUUGUUCUGCUGCCAAGCUCCGAACCGUCUUUUUGCUGCUGAUGCUGUCAGAGGCUCCGUCACCAGAUGAUGUGUGCUGCUUACUGCCGAGGCCGAGUGGCUGAAAGGGAUGAAAAUCCCCAAUGCACAGGAAGGAGCUUUAACAACGUUCUAGGACUUGAACGAGCUGUCUUUUGUAGAAGGGAGAAUGUCCUUAAGCUCAGAUCACCUCACCUCGGGGAUGCCUGCUGGACCUUUUGAGAUUACAGUCAAGAAGUGGGGGUUGGACUCAGUACGGAGAAGAUGGCUUUCUGCUGCCUUCCUGCUUGAACUCCACAGUCUUAAGAUCAGCUGAGCCCAAGAUCUGACUGCUCCGAGGUUUGCCUACAGUGGUUUUCUGUAGCUGUGCUGCAGAAGGGAAUAGCUGGUCCCUAUCCAAGUACAACCCUUUUGGCACUUCCCUUACCUUGAUAACUCUAUUACAGUCAGGAAGCGGCAGUGCACCAAGGCAGACUGUCGGCCAUGGCAGUGCUUCACACUGCCAUGGAAAGAUGGAAACACAGGUCAAAUGCAGACUCCGGAUCUGCAUUUAGCCCUCAAAAGCUCCUUUGCUCUAAUGCCAGCUCUAGCACCCCUUCCCUUUGUGGUCUUUUGGGGUCCAUUUAACGCUUCUGCCUCAGUUUCUUCCAUCUCUAAACCAGAGACAAUAUUCACAAGAAGGUGUAAGACCUGAUUAGUGUUUGUAAAGUGGGAGUUACUGAGUAUGUUGCUGUGGAUCUGUAGACUCAUACAUACCAAAGACAGAUAUUUCUUACAUAAAUAAUUAAUAGACAUAUCACUGUAAUCCCACUCAGUUCUGUAUUACUUCUGCUUGCAGGAUACAGAAUCAUAGAAUUGUUUAGGUUGGCAAAGACCCUUAAGAUCAUCAAGUCCAACUGUUAACCUAGCGCUGCCAACCACCACUAAACCAUGUCCCUAAGUGCCGUGUCUACAGGUCUUUUAAAUCCCUCCAGGGAUGGUGACUCAACCACUUCCCUGGGCAGCCUGUUGAAAUGCUUGACAACCCUUUUGGUGAAGAAAUUCUUCCUAA